UCCGCAGUAGCUCAGUGGUAGACGAUAGCCGACAAUUGGCUAGCCAGCAUGGUUCGAGUCCUACCUGCGGAGCCA
rnacentral:tRNA from 1 species